UACGUAGGGUGCAAGCGUUGUCCGGAAUUAUUGGGCGUAAAGAGCUCGUAGGCGGUUUGUCGCGUCUGCUGUGAAAACUCGGGGCUUAACUCCGGGCCUGCAGUGGGUACGGGCAGACUAGAGUGCGGUAGGGGAGUCUGGAAUUCCUGGUGUAGCGGUGAAAUGCGCAGAUAUCAGGAGGAACACCGGUGGCGAAGGCGGAUCUCUGGGCCAUUACUGACGCUGAGGAGCGAAAGCGUGGGGAGCGAACAGG
rnacentral:rRNA from 1 species